rnacentral:rRNA from 1 species
UCGCCUGUUUAUCAAAAACAUGUCCUCUAGAUGAUAAUUUGAGGUCUGACCUGCCCACUGAAUAUAAGAUUUGAAGGGCCGCGGUAUUUUGACCGUGCAAAGGUAGCAUAAUCAUUAGUCUUUUAAUUGAAGGCUAGAAUGAAUGGUUGGACGAGGUAUUGACUGUCUCAGUAUAAUUGAAAUUAGAAUUUAACGUUUAAGUCAAAAGGCUUAAAUAUAUUUAAAGGACGAGAAGACCCUAUAGAGCUUGAUAUUUAAAAGUUAUUAUUUAUUUAGUUGUAUUUUUAUAAUAGUUUAAUAAGUAUUUUGUUGGGGUGACAGGAAGAUAUAAUAAACUCUUUUUAUUUUAUUACAUUGAUAUAUGAAUUGUUGAUCCAUUAUUAGUGAUUAUAAGACUAAGUUACCUUAGGGAUAACAGCGUAAUCUUUUUCGAGAGUUCUUAUCGACAAAAAGGGUUGCGACCUCGAUGUUGGAUUAAGGGUAAUUUUGGGUGUAGAUGUUCAAAGUUUAGGUCUGUUCGACCUUUAAAUCCUUACAUGAUCUGAGUUCAAACCGGAGA